GAGGGUAUAGCUCAGUGGUAGAGCGCAUGCUUAGCAUGCAGGAGGUCCUGGGUUUAAUUCUCAGUAUUUCCA
rfam:Camelus ferus unplaced genomic scaffold scaffold389, whole genome shotgun sequence.